rnacentral:tRNA from 2 species
GCCCAGGUGGCGGAAUUGGUAGACGCACUACCUUGAGGUGGUAGCGGGUAACUCCGUGGGGGUUCGAGUCCCCCCUUGGGCACCA